AUACGUAGGGGGCGAGCGUUGUCCGGAAUUACUGGGCGUAAAGGGUGCGUAGGCGGUAUGUUAAGUCAGGUGUGAAAUACCAUGGCUCAACUGUGGUGUUGCACAUGAAACUGGCAUACUAGAGUGCAGGAGAGGGAAGUGGAAUUCCUAGUGUAGCGGUGAAAUGCGUAGAGAUUAGGAGGAACACCAGUGGCGAAGGCGGCUUCCUGGCCUGUAACUGACGCUGAGGCACGAAAGCGUGGGGAGCAAACAGGAUUAGAUACCCUGGUAGUCCACGCCGUAAACGAUGGAUACUAGGUGUAGGAGGUAUCGACCCCUUCUGUGCCGUAGUUAACGCAAUAAGUAUCCCGCCUGGGGAGUACGGCCGCAAGGUUAAA
rnacentral:rRNA from 1 species